UCAUGCUAUGGACUUCUGCCAAUGUAUCCUAACACAAAUUUGCAAAAAUACACUUUGUUCCAGUGUUGAUCCUGCUUGAUUGCCUGAACCGUACUAACGUCAAGUUUCUUAAGGGUCAUGGGAAAAAGAUGACUAUUUAAUUCUCUUCUUUAUGAGCAUACUACUGUUUUGCCUCAGAAACUUUAGCUUCUUCUUUCAUUUGACAAAUGAGGAAGUAUAGGCCCUUCACUGUUCCCAAUGUCCCUGUUGAUAGGGACAUACAGUAGUGGGAGCCAAACCAGGAAUAUAUAUCCUGCUUCUCCACUUUCACUUGGUUAGGUUUCCUGCAAGUUCACUUCAGGUAAGAGUAGUUUCUGUAGAGCAGAGGCAAAAGUUAGAACAAAAGAAGAGAGCAAACAUUUGUCAUAUAAACAAAAAGGAUUUUUGCUGUCUCCUCUGUAAUGCAUUCUUGAGGAAGCCUUCAUUUGUAACAGUAUAUCUAUGUAUAAAAUAACAGUAAGCACGAAAAUAUAAACCUCCAAAGUUCUGUGUGCAAAGUCAAUCUUAUUUCUCCCCCUUGGUCAGUCUAUUUUAAGACACUUUACUGUUGUAUUUGCUAACUAUUACAGUUGUACUCAAUAGUAGUAGAGUAUUUACUAAAAAUACAUGUGAAAAGUCCACAGGUGACUUAGAAUUUGGAGUUCCAUUUUUAAAAGCAAAGAGGGAGCCAAGUUCUGGAUGGAAAGUUAAUGGCACAUUUUCUCACAUUUUCUCUUCUUUCAGGUGACUUAGUUAUUUUAUGAGACUAAAGAUUCAUCUGGUGCUAAUCUUUAUUUUCUUAUUUCAGCUUUAUUGAUAGUGUUUACUAAGGUUUUUUUUUCUUUAAAUUAGUCAUAGUUCCUAUAGCUGAAGCAAAUAUAAUUUUUUUCCACUGAUGUACUGUUUUUGACUGGGUUAGAGAUAAUUUUCUUUGUAGUAGCUUGUAAGGUGCUGUGUUUUGGAUUGAUGACAAAACCAGUGUGGAUAACAGACUGAUGUUUUAGUGAUUGCUGAGUAGUGCUUACACAGCAACAAGGCCUUUUGUAUUUCUCGUGCUGCACUGUGGGUGCGUGGGCUGGUGCUGCACAAGAAGCUGGGACGGGACAGAGAUGAAACAGCUGACCCCAACUGACCAAAGGGAUAUUCCAUACCAUACAACAUUGUGCUCAGUGAUAAAAAGCUCAAGGAAAGGGGGAGGAAGGGAGAACAUUUGGAGUGAUGGCAUUUGUCUUCCCAAGGAGCUGUUACAUGUGAUGGAGCCCGGCUGUCCCGGAUAUGGCUGAAUGCCUGCCUGUUGAUUGGAAGCAGUGAAAGAAUUCCUUGUUUUGCUUUGCUUGCACACCCAGCUUUUGCUUUACCUAUCAAACUGUCUUUAUCUCAACCCAUCAAUUUUCACACUUUUACUCUUCCAUUCUGUCUCCCAUUUCCCCGGGGGGUGAAUGAGCGAGUGGCUGUGUGACUGAGCUGCUUACUGGGGUUAAACCACAACUGACUACUUUGAACAGAACAGGACUGACUUGCAGCUGGCAGAGCUGGGAGAGUGUUUCAUAGCAGCAUCAGCCUUCCCCUUCUGCUUAGAAACCUGUGGUGCAUAAGCUACAGGUGUCACUAUGGUCCUCUGAAGACCUUAUUCCAAAUAAAGCUCUGUGAAAGAAUAAUUUCCUGAGGCAAAUUAUGCUGCCGUGGGUCUAAAUAUUGCAGGGCACUGAGGGCACAUCUCUGCAAAACUCUGCCAACUUUUCUGGCUCUUUGUGGCAUUCCGUGUCAAAAAAAGAGUUUCUGUUCUCCUCAAAGCCUUUGUUGUGCAGUUGGAGGUAAGGGCAUUAUACAGGCACAGAAAUAAGUAGACACAAAGCUGAAUACAACUUCACUGCAACAAGACUAAAACAGUAACAGAGGCACUUCACAGCUCCCAAGUGACCCAUGUUAUUUUGAAGAUAUGACACUGGAGUUCAUUCAGACUUUGCAUUCCCACUUGUUCUGUUGGUAAGGUAAAAGAAAAGGUGGAAACUUCCCCCCAGCAGUUUUGAUCUGCUUGAGCAAUCCAAGUUACAGAGAGCUCUGUGAUGGAAGUUGAAGUUGUCAAACAUAAUUCAAGAAGUUCAGGGAGAAGCAGAGAAGUUACUGAGUUGACUGGGAUGACAACUUUCAUGGAAGGAUAGAGGGGACAUUGUAAAUGAACUAGCCCCCUUUUCUGCCUUUCAUUGUCCUGUUAUGACAAGGUCAAUGAAGAUUAUAUACUUACAACAAAUUGCCAUAUUUACAAAACUAAGUUAUCUCUUUAUUAAGAAAUCUGUGUCAAACAUAGCUGCUGGUAGCAUUCCAGUACAUGCCAAAAGACUGAUUUUUUUUUACCCUUUCUUCUCUUUUGCAACAUGUGUUGUCCUUGUCAAGCACUUUAUCACAUCUCUUUAUAGUUGUUAUUGUUGCUGAAGUGUGUUGGUAAAAGCUAUUGACAAUUCAGGGGGACUAGAGGGAUUUAAAUGUUGUUAGUUGAUCACUGAAAGACAGUUUUACUCUCUCCUGGCUGCUUUACUGCUACAGCGUGUUAGAUCUUGGUGUUCUUUCAAUAUGCAGUUCCCUGGAUCAUUCUUGUUUGUAUCACUGCUGAUUGCAGGGUAAUGGCUCCAAUCCUGUUGCUACCAACCUUUCUUUGUCAACUUCAGGUUCCUUUCAUGGCUCAUGGUUUCUUCUACAUAAAGCAAAUUGAAGUUUCAUCUAGGUCCUGCUGGUCUUGUUUGACACACUGAGCCAAGCAGUUUCAUGAGUUUAUCCACAGCUGCUGUCAGGCUACUGCUGGCACUGCCCUGACUCUGUAGCUGAGAUGGACUUCUCUGGGGGAAAUGAAAAUGAGAGGAGGAGCAAGCCUGUGCUUCAGCUGCAGGGAAAGGAACUAUUCUUCUCAGCAGGAAACAUUUCCCCAUCUCCCAGAGCACAAGCAUUUGAGAAUGUCAGGAAGCUUGGUUUUACCUUUAUGGCACGAGCUGGGAGAAGAUCCCAAUGGUAACACACAGGGAAUCAAACAAAAGCUCAAGCCUACUACAGAAGAAGUGAAUUUGGGCUCAAGAUUUAAUUAAUCUGUGUGCAGGACUGGUGAAAACACAAACCCUCUGCAAUUAGCAGUUUGACAGCUCCAGUGGGAGUCAUUUGGGUCCCUGGCACAUAAUAAUUGGAGGGAAAAAGGCUUGGCAACGCGUUUGAGAUGAGGGGACCUGAAGAAGUAAAAAACUUCAGGAAACAGAAGGGAGCUUUGGGGAACAUUCUAAGCAAAGAAAGCCUGGAAGAGGCAUUUGUUAAAUAUUUUCCACAUAAUUAUCCAUUAUCGAAAUUACUAUAUCAGAAUUGUCACCUUCAAAAAGCAAGUACUGUGAUGCAUAACAAUAGGCUUCUCAAUGAAUUUAUUUCUAUCUAGAACUUUAUUUUCAUGAUACUCUCCCAUUUCUUUAAAUUCUUGAACUUUAUUUUUUUGUUUUUCUUACUGAUUUUGCUUUUGGAGUACUGUCAACAAAAUAAUUCUUCUUGAUGUCGUUUUCAAUGAAAGCUAUUUUCAUUGAUACAAUUGCCUCUAAAAAUAAAUAUAUCCUUAAUUUUAAAUUACACUCAGAUAAAUGACAACACUUGCAUGUGGAUUGGGAUGAUUAUACUUGUUGAAAAUAACUGUAGAUAUGUAAAGGACUUAAAGAUAUUCUGUAUUAUAUAAACUUAAAACCAAGAAAGGCUUCAAGAUAUAUGCAGCUUAGAUUUUUUUGACAGGUCUAGUCUUUCAAAGUUGAGGAGGAGCCAAUACCUUGGAAGGGAAGUAUCUAGGACUUUGCACCCUUCUCUUCUAGAACUUCCUACGAAGUAGGAGUACUUUCCUCUUCCGCUUCUAGCUUUGUUUAUCAUAAACAUUGCUAAUGCAGACUGUGGCCCAGGACAGGUAGCUUUUGACUUGAACUCUUCCCUGGGGUUGCUUCCUUUAUCAUUCACUGUCUGAUGGGAAAGCUGUGUUUUAUUGCUUAGUUGUAAAACGCACAUCACACUAAAGACACCAAACGAUGUUUCAUGUGAGAGGAUAAUCUGUUAACUGGGUCUCCUAGUUUGCUAUUAACAAGCAGAAAUUUCACUUUUGGUUAGUGCAGUUAAUUUAAAGAAAAAUGUCAUAAACUUCCAAAUAAGGGUCACUAUCAUAACAUCACCCAUAGGGUCACCAUCAAUGAAACAAGAGAAGUUUUGUGAUUUAAAAUUUAAUGUCAUAUUUGACUGUUUAUUUCUCAUUAAAAAAUAUCCAGAGAAACCUGAACAUCUAAAUAAAGUUAUAUAACUUCAUGCUUUCUAGGUAGGAGAAAAAUACAAAUUUCUUUUGUUGUAGUUAAAGCUAACAAAUAAAAAUAUACAAAGAAAUAGGUGUAAUGACAGGAAUAAAUAUUACUAAAAGACUCUACACUUCCAAGACAGUAAAAUAAUAUGCCAGUUCCUUGAAACCUCUAGCUGAUGAUUCAGAGAUUGAGGAUUUACUUCAGCUGUUUUACUUUUCUUCUUUCUUAUCUAGAUCUCAAAAACAUCUUGAGUCCUGGGGCCCUCGGUGGGACCAUCUGAGGGCAAGAACAGCAGCAUGUCUGUCGUCAGUACUGAGCAGGAGGCAGGAAGGGGGAAGAGUGUAAUCCUUUGAUAAUGUAGGCUGAAAUUCUUUCAUUUUUCCUGCUUCCUUUUGUGCAAAGGGCUGGUGAUGGAAUAUGUGAGGACUUCACGUCAGGCUGAGGCAAUAUCCCUACAAUGCUGGGUUGGUAGCUGCAGUUAACCUGGCCAACUGUACUACUCUGUUCUAUGAAAAUUCUGAUUUAUCUUUAUACUGGAAGCUUUGAUAAUAAAGUUAAGCUGAAUGUGAGGGACAACACUGGACAAAGGAAUACUGCAAUUUAAAGUAUGAACCUCUCAGUGUUAAAACACCCCUAAUGCAGUGAGUGGGUAAGUGGAGAAGGGUUCACUGGAAUGGCAAAAACAGGCCAUGCAAUUUUUAUAUCACCUAAGCCUCAAAAGACAGGAACAUGAAGGUGCUGUGAGAGCUGAAAUUUCUUCAUUACUUUUUCUGAGACCGUUAUGUAUCACGACCCGAUAAAAACAAAAACAUUGUACAAAUGGAUUUUUAAGAACAAUUUAUCUGUAUAGUCUCUAAAUGCAUUUAUAUCUGUUGGGUCUCAUUUUUAACUUGAAUGUUUUUAAAUUGACGUAUUUCUCUUCUUACAUUUAGUUUCCAGUUUUAUGAAUCAGGUGAUUUUUUUAAAGUGUUGUGUACUUUUCAUAUUCUGUUUAGUGUGAACUGUUUACUGUCUGAAAUAGCAUACUUGUCAUUUUUGAUAUUCAAAGAACAGAGAUAAACAAUAUAAAAGCAUAAUCUAUUGCAUUUUCUCUUUUAAGACAUUAACUUUCAGCUUUUGUUUUAAGCUCAUGAUAGAAACUGAAGGAAAAGAACACAGCUUCAGGCAUUUCCCCCCCCUUUGACUGUUAAUUAAUCUACAGCAUGCUUUUAUUUAAUACUUCAUUAGUCUAGUGUGACAGAAAAUCAGCAAAGACUUGCAUUUUGUUCUCAACCUAGUUUGUAUCUACCUGCCUAUUAUCCCCACUAAACACAUUUUCCAUAAACAAUGUUUUGUUGUCUCUUAUGUGUAACUGAAAAGCCUCUUAUGCUGUUCAUUUGUCAUUCUCAAUUGUGCAUGAGCAUUGAGACUUGGAGCAAAAUUUUGAAUGUGUUUGCAUUGGUAAAUUGAUUUUUUGUACUCGUACUAGUCUUCACAAGUGGCAUUUGGGCUCAGUAAGCAAUAAAAGAACGAAGAAGGGAGGCUCUGGCUUUCUUCCCUUUUUAAAAAUCUUAAUUGAAUUUGAAAGCCAGAGGGUAGUUGUCUUGGUAGGAUUUGAGGCCAGUGGAAGUUGAGGAAGAUUGACUUUUGCUGUUUGACAUCGACUGUUUAAAUUCUGUAAUAUGUUCACGUACCAAAAAAAAACCCUGCAAGAAAGGCAUGUAAAAGAAUAAUUUGCAGCACAAAGCUUCACCAAAAUAAGAAGGUAGUGUAAGAAGACACUGGAAAGCAGAUGAAGAAGACAUUAGCUUGGUCUAUAUUGCUUUGGUGUCCACGCACACCGUCAUAUCCAGUAAGUUUAUCUGCACAGUAUCCAUGAGGUAAAAGAAGGGGUUUUAAAUAAUUUUUUUCUAGUUGCCUCUGCCAAUCAGUAAUCGAGUCAUGGAAAAGCUGAAAAGGGUCCCUUUACAGUAAGAUGAAAGCUCCUCAGAGCCAGUUUUAGGCUAGCUAUCAGUAUUAGAUCAGCUGUUGUGAAGAGCAAAAGCUGCACAGAACUGUGCUGUAAACGGGGUUUGCACGAGCAGCAGAACCCUUAGAUCACACCACCAUGACCUGCUGCUGGUCAUGUACACGUCACUUGCAUCAGACUGUACUGACCGCGGUGUUGGCUCUGCUGCCAGGCCCAGGGCAGAGACACAGCAACAGCACUUCUUGCUGGAGCUUGUUCAGCUGCUUUGCUGUCUAAGACUACCACAGGGAGCACUGAAGGAAGGAGACAAGAGGAUGAUGGUGAAACACAAAUUUUCAGUAUUAACCAUGGGUUUUCUGGUGGGGGCCAUCAGCUGGUCAGACAGAGAGUGGUCACCUCAGUGGUGGCAGUGAGCUCCAUGUGGUCAUGUAAAGACAUACCUACAGUGAGCUUGGGUAAAGCCAAAGACCCAGCUAGUGAAGUAUUUUGUUUGUAGCAGUAACCAUUGGUGGAUGCCUCAAGAAAAAGGCGCCAACUUUUUCAAAUUAUUCGAUCUUCCUUCUGGGUAUUUAGUAAGCCUGACGGUUGUUUUGGUGUUUUUUUUUUUUGGUGGUUGCCUGACCUCCCUCGAUGCUCAUGUAAACUUUUAUCUUCAAAACAUUCUUUUACAAUGAAUUACUCAGGUUUAUGACCUGUGGGAAUUUUUUUCUGUGGGAUGGACAUCCUGCUUUUCUUGUUUAGAAUAUGGUCCCUAUUGUCAUUUUCUGAAGGACAAGUUGGGUUUUGAUGGGGAAGGAAGGGAGGGAUAGUGGCAUAUUGAAACAUAUAGCCAUCAUAUAGCCAUGCUUUUGCUAUUGGAUGAUAUCCUGGAUCAAGACAAUCCUCUUUCUUUACUGAACAAUGGGCUUUUUUGUCCCCGUUCUAUGCAUUAUGGUCCUGUGUGGUUUUUGUUUGUUUGUUUUCCUGAGAGCUGAGGGGCUGGUCUUACCCAGGAACAUCUUCUUUCUUAGCCUUUCAAAUUUUUGAAAUUCUUAAUCCUCCAGUAAUUUUGUACUAUUUAAACCACCAAAAAUAAAUAAAACUGAAGCUUAAAUACAGAACCUAUAAAUGGCUUAUAAUCCGAACAUAGUUGUCAAUAAACUGAUGGUACAAAAGACAAUGCACAUACCUACAUUAGACAUUCAAAAAUGCAGGCAACAUGCUAUGGCCUCUUCCUCCCACCAAGAGGUCUUCAAACUUCCAUCACACUUGGUUAUGGAGUGCAGGAUCUUUAUAUUUCUGUGCAUGGUUUCUUUUUUACAUCUCUAAUUCUCCCUCUCACUCCUGCAAAAAGCUGAUUGUUUUUGGCUUUAACUCCUUUUUUCCAAAUUAGCUCAUGUGUAGUUUUCUUUAUCUUCUAUCAAGGGAUCCACCUUCCUACCUUGUAGUCUAAUAACUAGCAGGUGCUUUUCUCUGAUGUGCUUUGGUGGUGUUGGUGUAUUUUGUUGCCCAAGGGGUUGCUUCCAUUUAAAUGCAAGACUGUCAAGGUUUAAUGAAUAUUGUUGUUUAUGGUCUCUCACCAGCCCUUGGAACUGUAUUAUAAAUGUAAUUAAAAAGCCACAAAGAAAACAAAUAUUGGAAAUGUGGGGAUUCUUGAUUUGUAAUCUGGCUAUUACAUAUAAUGAGUUGUCAAUACUAAGCAAUUUAAAAGUGGCAAAUGGAAAAAUUUCCCAGAUCACUAGGGAUGUUUAACUAUUUAUAAACUACAGUGAAGGUCCUGUAACAGGAAAGACCACCACAGUUGGUGAGAAGGUCUCAAGGGAUGACUUUUGAACAAAGUUGCCAUUGAACAAGGCCACGGCAGCCUGCACAAUUCCUGUGAGGUUGCCUGUGGGGGUCCUGGGCAGUCUGCAAGGCAGGGUCAGAAAGAAAAACUGCCCUGACAGACCUGCCCUGAAACCAGCUGAAUUCCAUACAUGCUGAUAACUCACAGUGCUUGCAGAAACAAUAACUCUGGAUGUGGAAUUUUUUUAAUUGUUUUUUUUACCCCAGAUUUCCUGAACUUUCCAUGAGUCAGGAAGCCAGGUUUUGAAGACCCCUUGCUCCACAGGACAGCAUCUCAUGCCCAUUCCAUAAGACAUGAAGCCUUCCUGCACCAGCAACUAAGAGUUCCUGAUCGUAAAGACUUAGACUUUUAAACUUGUAUUGUAUUUUGACUGGCUUAGCACUGAUAUGAAAUAGAAGAAGAGAUGAGAACUUCAUAUUUCUCAGCAGGACACGAUUACUGUUUCAGUCCUUUUCUUGUCAGAAUCUUCCGAUGUUUUCAGCCACUGACUUGAAUAAAUGGGCCAGAAGGGAGACCAGACUGUUCUCAGCCUCCCUCUCUUUUCCAGCAGUGGGCAGUGCAACAAAAUCACCCUAAGAGAACAUAAGCACUUGAGGUUUUCUCCACAGUUCAUUCAUUGCAAUAUGAUUUGUGCACAGUGUGAAUGGAGGAUGUGUCUGCAAGAUUGGUCCACCAUAGACACGAUCUACCUAGGGAAGCAUUGGCGCAGAUUUGCUGUGAUCUUAAAGCUGUUGAAUUGAAUGCUUUUUAAAAAAAACAGUGGAAAAAAGGUCUUCCCCACAGGAUUAUUAUGAGCAAUAGCUAAAACUGAUACACUUCCAAGAAGCAGAAGAAUGAAAACAUCUGUUCCGAUCACAUUGAUAUGGAGAGCUGCACUUUGACUGUAAUGCUUGAUAUUGAUGUUUUGUAUUAUAGUUAAAGAAGCCUGUCUCCUUCACCAUUUUAUUCAGAGGAUGCUUUUCUUCAGUGAGCUGUGUGUGCUUUAACUUGUCAUCUUAUCCCAUUAUAGCUCAGGACUGCUAAAGAGCUAUACUUGCUCUCAGCAGAGCUCAAAAAUGCUUGGUUUGUAUUCUGAAAGACUGUGCAUAAUUACAUUGAGCCUGAAAGAUGGAAUAGUUCAGAAAGAGAAAAUUAAAAAAAGGAUUCGUACAGUUUGACACAUUCAGUGCACAGAUUAUGAAAAUUAUGUCUACUUAGAGUUAUUAAUGAUAAUUCAGACUUACUAAUUUGCUUACAGAAUACAAGGCUAAUGAAGUAUUUUUCAAAAUAUGUCAAUAAUGAACAGUCCAUAAUUAAUCAAAUUACUAUUUAAAUCUGAACUUUGAAAUAAUUUUAAUUAUCACCUUUUAGGAUAAUGAUAUGGCAAAAAGGAGAGUGACUGCAUUUUGCCAUCUGUGAGAGAUUCGAGUUCCUGCAAAUGUUUAUGCACAGCUACAAAUACAUCCAUGUGUAAUUGUGGUGCUGGGGCCUUGCUAAGAACUGGAGUUGAAGGAGUUAUUUUAUUUUCCUGCUGAGAAGAGUCUGUGCUAGAUGAGAAAAUACAGGACGCUCAGCAAGAAACAGCUUGAAAAAAGAAGUGAAAUAGACAGUCUUUAACAAAAUGAAGAGGGUCUUAAAAAGAAGACUCCUGUAGAUUAUACCCAUUUUCUUUUCUAUUUAUAAACCUCUCCACUUUGUAAAAGCAGCAUUGCAAAGAGCAAGAUUGUGCAUGCAGAACGCUGAGUAAAUGUAAAAGUUUUCAUAAGCUGUCCAUGCUUUAUGGAUUAUUUUUUUUUUUUUUUUGCAUGGAAUCUCUAAGUUGUCACCACUACCAAACUAAAAAACAGGGAGAUAAGUCUUGUCACCUGCAGACUGUCCACUAGGAACAGCUAUAUUCUUGCAUGAAAGCAGUUGCAUGUUCAGAACACUUGCUGUCUCUGGAUUAGACACCUACUAGAAGAGAUGCAAAGCUUGCACAAGAAGUUGAAAUCCCAUAUUUUGCAAAUAGGAUUGUUUGAAAAUUUGGCAUACAGUGCUAUUCUUUUCCAAACCGUCCUAUGUGUCAAGUAUUUGCCAAAAUAUGAAAUUUCUGAAGAUAUCUGCAAAAUAUUUUUUUAACUUUAGGCUACUGACAAAGACUUGAGCCUAUAGCACAAUGUAAUACCACAUUCUAGUUCAUUUAUUCAGACUAGAAGAGAGAUAGUUCGAGAGUGAUUUGAAUAGAGCUUACAAAUACCCAAAUAGCAGCAUCAAAAUAGAAGGUUUUAAAGAUCUGAUCCCAAGUACAAAGACCUAAAGUUGAAAGAGGAGGUAUUCAGAUUACAUUUUUUUUGUAGUUAACAAUAGGCACAAAGUGUGAAAGGUAAAGUAGUGAUAAUUUAAGUCAAAAUGCUGUUCUAAAACAAAAAUUCUUGUUCAAGCAUAAACACUAGACUCGAAACAAUAUUUCACACGUAGCAUGUCUAUGAUCUGUAUUGUGCAGAGUGCCAGAAUGCAUGGCCAUUGUGACACAGCUUAAUUACUAGCUGUUGCUCUGGUCACUGAUAUUAACCAUAAACACCGUAUUCACAGAGGUAUUUAGCCACGGAUUUCAGUGGAAAUGAGAGCCUGGGUGCAUUGCAGUUCACACAGAGUCCAGCGUCAGAGUGCCCUUUGGGCGCUGUUUGUAACAGGCAUUCCUCCAAGAGCAGCCACUUGGGGAAUACACAGGACCAGCAAAGUGGUGUUCUGCGUGGUAACAUCUAGGAACCACUUAUCAUCUCACAGUAUUUCAAAAACAUGUUUUCCAAACCAGCUGGCAAUGUUUCAAAAUGAUACAGCAAAAUGAACACUUUACAGGUACAGUUCAUAAUGGCCAUGUGCUAGCAUGAAUCUUUUGGGUUUUCUCCAGGGAAUUCUGUUUGUAUAGCAUUUCUGAAUAUACUUAUUUUUUCCUCCCUGAGUGCAGGAAAAAGGCUAGUUCACAUGAACGAUAUUUGCAAUGGGCCCUUUAUGUGAAAUAAAUCUUUCAGUUGUCUAUUUCUGCCACUAUAGUGAGUUUUACACAGUUCACUUUAAUUAUUAAGACUAAUUAUUACUCUGCUUGUUCCCUAAAUCUCUGCUUUAGGUUAAGGUUACCAAAUAAUGCAAAUAUUCACUUUUCGAAUACUCUACUAGUUUCCAAUUCAACGGAAUUUGACGUUCUUGGGGUUUUUUUUUUUUUUUUUCUUGUUAUCCGUCUAAAAAAAGUUCUUUAUAUACAUUUAAACGUAGAUUUCUCAGGGAUUUUUGUUUCAUGUUAUGUUACAGUCUGCUUUCAUGAAAAUUGCAGUUCCCAAAUGUACUAGUUUGCAAAUAUGUAACA